AUACCAUAGAACUAUUUAUUCAGUUAAGUGGACGACUUCUAAACUAGUCCUAAAUACAAGCUCCCAUGCUGCUCGUACAUAUCAUUUUCAGUUUUAAGAUUAUUUCAAAUAAUCUUGUUUUUUUAGCUUAAUCUCAAAAAAAAUUUCAUAAUUUUUAAUUUUUUUUAAGUUGAAUCUCGAUUUUAUACAAUAUUUGAAGCAAAGUCGUUCCAAAAUUUGAAAGUAAUCGAAGUUAUUUAGUGUAGUGGCGAUCCAAAAAAAAAAAAAUCUAACAGAAUAAAUUGUAGAUUUUAGUUUUCAUAAAUCUUUCUUUCUUUAUAAUAAAUUUUUAAUUAUACGUAUAGAUAUUUCAUUGGUUUUUUUCCAAUGCCUGUGGAUUUGCAACUGCUAUGCAAAUACGUAGUAUUAUACCAAUUUUUAUGACGGCACGUUCUACUUCCAGUAAAAUAAUACGAAGGCAGUAUGAGGUUUAAAUUUGAUUCUUGGAAAAUUACUUCUCUAAAAUGUUUCAUAGUAUGAAACAUCGUAUGGCAAUCUAAUCGAGUUAGUUGUAUAUAUCUAUAUAUAUGAAAAU